UACAGAGGUCCCAAGCGUUGUUCGGAUUCACUGGGCGUAAAGGGUGCGUAGGUGGUCGGGUAAGUCUGAUGUGAAAUCUCUGAGCUCAACUCAGAAAUGGCAUUGGAUACUAUUCGGCUCGAGGGUUGGAGGGGGGACUGGAAUUCUCGGUGUAGCAGUGAAAUGCGUAGAUAUCGAGAGGAACACCAGUGGCGAAGGCGAGUCCCUGGACAACUCCUGACGCUGAGGCACGAAAGCUAGGGGAGCAAACAGG
rnacentral:rRNA from 2 species